rnacentral:rRNA from 1 species
AGUGAACGCUGGCGGUAGGCCUAACACAUGCAAGUCGAACGGCAGCACAGUAAGAGCUUGCUCUUACGGGUGGCGAGUGGCGGACGGGUGAGGAAUACAUCGGAAUCUACUUUUUCGUGGGUGAUAACGUAGGGAAACUUACGCUAAUACCGCAUACGACCUACGGGUGAAAGCAGGGGAUCUUCGGACCUUGCGCGAUUGAAUGAGCCGAUGUCGGAUUAGCUAGUUGGCGGGGUAAAGGCCCACCAAGGCGACGAUCCGUAGCUGGUCUGAGAGGAUGAUCCGCCACACUGGAACUGAGACACGGUCCAGACUCCUACGGGAGGCAGCAGUGGGGAAUAUUGGACAAUGGGCGAAAGCCUGAUCCAGCCAUACCGCGUGGGUGAAGAAGGCCUUCGGGUUGUAAAGCCCUUUUGUUGGGAAAGAAAAGCAGCAGGUUAAUACCCCGCUGUUCUGACGGUACCCAAAGAAUAAGCACCGGCUAACUUCGUG